GGUAGAGAUACCUUAGUGCCUUCGGGAACUGUGAGACAGGUGCUGCAUGGCUGUCGUCAGCUCGUGUUGUGAAAUGUUGGGUUAAGUCCCGCAACGAGCGCAACCCUUAUCCUUUGUUGCCAGCGAGUAAUGUCGGGAACUCAAAGGAGACUGCCGGUGAUAAACCGGAGGAAGGUGGGGAUGACGUCAAGUCAUCAUGGCCCUUACGAGUAGGGCUACACACGUGCUACAAUGGCGUAUACAAAGAGAAGCGACCUCGCG
rnacentral:rRNA from 1 species